CAGAAAUAUUCAUCACAAUCUUGCAAGAGUGCUUCAGUACACCUACUGCUGCCUUAAAAAUAUUCACUGUUUAACAGAGGAAAGAAAGUCAUGCAUGUUCUUCAUAAUCCAUCAUCAAUUGAUGCUUGUUUAAAGAGACUUGCUGAGUUUCCCACAUCAGCAUUUUACCUCCUGGAAUCGCAGCCAAUUUGUUGAUUUAAGUCACACACUGAGUGGAGAUUGAUGGCUCUGGAACUGCAGGACUCCUUAUCGAUUGAUCACACAGCCUGUUGAUAUGUGCUCUACCGAAUCGUUCAUCAUUGUAAAGUGCGUCCA